rnacentral:tRNA from 1 species
UUCCAGGUGGCUCAGUGGUAAAGAACCUUCCUGCCAAGCAGGAGAUGCAGGUUUGAUCCCUGUGUAGGAAA